GAUGAACGCUGGCGGCGUGCCUAAUACAUGCAAGUCGAGCGAACGGACGAUAAGCUUGCUUCUCUGAUGUUAGCGGCGGACGGGUGAGUAACACGUGGAUAACCUACCUAUAAGACUGGGAUAACUUCGGGAAACCGGAGCUAAUACCGGAUAAUAUUUUGAACCGCAUGGUUCAAAAGUGAAAGACGGUCUUGCUGUCACUUAUAGAUGGAUCCGCGCUGCAUUAGCUAGUUGGUAAGGUAACGGCUUACCAAGGCAACGAUGCAUAGCCGACCUGAGAGGGUGAUCGGCCACCCUGGAGCUGAGACACGGUCCAGACUCCUACGGGAGGCAGCAGUAGGGAAUCUUCCGCAAUAGGCGAAAGCCUGACGGAGCAACGCCGCGUGAGUGAUGAAGGUCUUCGGAUCGUAAAACUCUGUUAUUAGGGAAGAACAUAUGUGUAAGUAACUGUGCACAUCUUGACGGUACCUAAUCAGAAAGCCACGGCUAACUACGUG
rnacentral:rRNA from 1 species